AUUGAACGCUGGCGGCAUGCCUUACACAUGCAGGUCGAACGGUAACAGGUCUUCGGAUGCUGACGAGUGGCGAACGGGUGAGUAAUGCAUCGGAACGUGCCCAGUAGUGGGGGAUAGCCCGGCGAAAGCCGGAUUAAUACCGCAUACGACCUGAGGGAGAAAGGGGGGGAUCGCAAGACCUCUAGCUAUUGGAGAGGCCGAUGUCAGAUUAGCUAGUUGGUGGGGUAAAGGCCUACCAAGGCAACGAGCUGUAGUCGGUCUGAGAGGACGACCAGCCACACUGGGACUGAGACACGGCCCAGACUCCUACGGGAGGCAGCAGUGGGGAAUUUUGGACAAUGGGCGCAAGCCUGAUCCAGCAAUGCCGCGUGCAGGAAGAAGGCCUUCGGGUUGUAAACUGCUUCUGUCAGGGAAGAAAUCUUCUGGGUUAAUACCUCGGGAGGAUGACGGUACCUGAAGAAUAAGCACCGGCUAACUACGUGCCAGCCGCCGCGGUAA
rnacentral:rRNA from 1 species